rnacentral:rRNA from 1 species
UGGGGAAUCUUGGACAAUGGGGGCAACCCUGAUCCAGCCAUGCCGCGUGAGUGAUGAAGGCCUUAGGGUCGUAAAGCUCUUUCGCCUGUGAAGAUAAUGACGGUAGCAGGUAAAGAAACCCCGGCUAACUCCGUGCCAGCAGCCGCGGUAAUACGGAGGGGGUUAGCGUUGUUCGGAAUUACUGGGCGUAAAGCGCACGUAGGCGGACCAGAAAGUUGGGGGUGAAAUCCCGGGGGCUCAACCCCGGAACUGCCUCCAAAACUAUUGGUCUAGAGUUCGAGAGAGGUGAGUGGAAUUCCAAGUGUAGAGGUGAAAUUCGUAGAUAUUUGGAGGAACACCAGUGGCGAAGGCGGCUCACUGGCUCGAUACUGACGCUGAGGUGCGAAAAGUGUGGGGAGCAAAACAGGAUUAGAUACCCCUGGUAGUCCACACCGUAAAACGAUGAAUGCCAGUCGUCGGGGUAGCAUGCUAUUCGGUGACACACCUAACGGAUUAAGCAUUCCGCCUGGGGAGUACGGUCGCAAGAUUAAAA